AGCGUUAUACUUUAAUUAAAAGGUCAGAUUUGCAUUCUGAAAAUGGGAAACCUUUUCUCUUUCGCUA
rnacentral:tRNA from 1 species